UUAACUAUUUUAUAGUACUCAGACGAUAUAUUAAAAAGAGUUUGGUUUAUUCCCUGGCAGCCGGUAAGGGCUGCCAAAGCAACAAGUUAUAUAAUUCAAGGGUGGGAGGUCUACCCGUGAGGGCAUGAACUCUAUAAUGAUCCUUCCGCAGGUUCACCUACGGAAA
rnacentral:misc_RNA from 1 species